CAGGCGUAGAAGGUUUGUGGUCAAUACGGACAACUGUGAUCAAAAGGGGAGUCAUUGGGUUGCAUUUCAUUUCCCCGCAUCGGGUCCAUCAGAAUUAUUCGACUCCUUAGAACGAUUACCGGAAAAGUACCAACGCUAUUUCAGAAAUGUACUCAUCGUCAAUGGACCGAAAUACUGUGUGGUUUGCAAUCAAAUCCAACCCGAUGAUUCAGAUACAUGUGGCCUGUAUUGCAUUUAUUACGUCAAAUUGAGAUGUCGGGACUCGAGAUGAAGGACAUUAUCAACAACUUUUCAUCCACUGACACGAUUCAGAAUGACAGUAAACUCGUAGCACUAUUUGGUUAAAUGAAAAAUAAUGAUACAAAAAAAAAUAAUGAAAAAAGAAAGAAAAAAAAUCUUAAAACACCUACAUGGAUGUAUAGCAGG
rnacentral:lncRNA from 1 species